AUAAAGAAUCGUACCUGCCCAGUGAAGAAUUUAAAUGGCCGCGGUACUUUGACCGUGCGAAGGUAGCAUAAUCAUUUGCCUUAUAAUUGAGGGCUGGAAUGAAUGGUUUGACAAGAAUUUGACUGUCUUUGGAAAAUUUUAUUGAAUUUCUUUUUUAUGUGAAGAAUCAUAAAUAUUAUUAAUAGACAAGAAGACCCUGUUGAGCUUAAAUUUGAUUUUAAGUUUUGAUAAAUAUUUUGAAAUGAAAAUUUUUGUUGGGGCGACUGAGGAACAAUUAAAGCUUCCUUAUAUUUAUUUUGACUUAUUUGUAAGAGAUCCAUUAAAGAUUGAUUAGUAGAAAGAGUUACCACAGGGAUAACAGCAUAAUUCUAUUUGGGAUUAUUUAUUGAAAAUGGAGUUUGUGACCUCGAUGUUGGAUCAAAAUAUCCUAAUGGGAAGAAUCUAUUAAGGGUUAGUCUGUUCGACUAUAAAAAUUUUA
rnacentral:rRNA from 1 species